CAGAACGAACGCUGGCGGCGUGCUUAACACAUGCAAGUCGAACGCGAAAGGGACUUCGGUCCUGAGUAAAGUGGCGCACGGGUGAGUAACGCGUAGAUAACCUGUCUUCAUGUCUGGAAUAAUACGCCGAAAGGGGUACUAAUACCGGAUAUUCUUGCUUUUCAUAAGUUAUGCAAGCAAAGGUGGCCUCUGCAUAUGCUACUGCAUGAAGAGGGGUCUGCGUACCAUUAGCUAGUAGGUGGGGUAAUGGCCUACCUAGGCGACGAUGGUUAGCGGGUCUGAGAGGAUGAUCCGCCACACUGGCACUGGAACACGGGCCAGACUCCUACGGGAGGCAGCAGUGAGGAAUAUUGCGCAAUGGGGGAAACCCUGACGCAGCGACGCCGCGUGAAGUGAGGAAGGCCUUCGGGUCGUAAAGCUCUGUCAAGAGGAAAGAAGUGUACAAUGGCUAAUACCUGUUGUAUUUGACGGUACCUCUAAAGGAAGCACCGGCUAACUCCGUGCCAGCAGCCGC
rnacentral:rRNA from 1 species